UAAAUUCAUUAUUUGGCAUUAAGUGUGCCAGCAUUGUGUAAAGCAAUUCCUUAUCCCCAUUCACUUUGCGUAUUAUUCAUUUAUUUUCAUGUUGACAACCCCAAGGACUUCAUCAGAUGAAACGUGAAGGUGGGUAUUUGUUCCUGUAAAUGCGCGUGUGUGCUUUUGUGUUGUACUUGGAAUGGGAAGUGCACAGCGUAAGAAUGAAAGGACCUGACCUGAAGAGGAACAACUGGCUGAGCGGAACACAAUAGAAGAGACGCGUUUCCCAAAAAGCACACUCUCUCGUUCUCAGAUUAUUUUCAGUGUAAUCAAGGGAUAAGAAAUUCAUUUGAAAUAAAGAGAGUGAGAGAGCUUUAGUCGUGAUGGCCCUGGCGAGCCUUCAUGCUCAGUGAACAUCAGCUUUUUGAAUUCCCAGCCCAUCGCUGUCUCUAACUUCUUUUUUUUUUUUUUUCUUUGUCUUUCUUCCUCUUCAUGCUGUUGGUGUCCUCAAGGCAAUACAAGAAAAAGCAGCCGAAGAAACAAGAAGAGAGGACCCCUCAGCCCGUCUACACCAACAACAAGGUCUGCAGCAGACAACGCCGUGCGGUGGCCACAAACCCGCAGAUAUUUCAAGAUGAAAAUAAUUAUGAAGACUUAAAUGGAACAAAGUUAUCUUCAAUCUAUGAAACGCUGCCGUAGACAAGAGAAUGGACCGCCACACUACGCCUGUCUGUCAUGAAAGACACGUUUGGCCCCCACUGAGUCUCCUUUGCUCCUCUUCUCUCUUCCAUACAUAACACCAGGCCAGGACAUCGCACUUGAGGCUGAAGCCAUUUCAGAGAUGCCAGGCUGGAGAUUAGCCCACCAUAAUCGCAGGAAGAUGGACUGAGAAAAUGUGACUUUGGUGGAAAAUAAAGCAAUAAGCACUCAAGAUGGACCUUGGGGGGCUCUGCUUCACAUAAAGAGUCGAAACAAACCACCGAGUGAGUCAAGGAACUCAACUGAAAACCCUGAUGACUUUUAAUAAAGACCACCAGGAUGAGACUUUGGGCGAGUUAGCCAACGAAGCAGACGGCACAUAAGCUGAGCGGCCACCUCUUGCUUGUCAAACUUCUUGUGUUUGUUUCACUAAAGUGCCUCCGUUUCAUUUAUUUUUGGUUUUUAAUUCAAUAAUUUUCAACAAUAUGCUUGACAUUUUUGUGAAUAACAGUAUAUGAAAUAAUGAAAUUCAUUCUGACUUAAUGCCACACUUUCUAAGGCCAUUUAUUAAUUAAAAUGAUAAAGUUAGAAUCAGAAAUAAGCAUUUUUGCGCUAGGGUUUGGUUUUAUUGAACAGCAUUUUUCAAGCCUUCUCUUCUACACCAUCAACACCAAGUAGAUGAGGUUCCCCAGUCUGUUAACAAUGGCGUAAUGGGGAUAUAAAAAUUUGUGCGGUUCACAGCUCCUCCAAUAUGACUGGAAAUGUUUAAUUUGCAUAUUUUUAUGUUAGCAGCAGGAGCCGAGCUCUGGUAAAGCCUCCUGGCCCGGCUAAGGCUCUCCAAGGUUCAGUCCUUACAGUGAAGGUAACUGAGGUCAGCAGCCGCGGCCAUGAUUAGUGUAUUGCAGAGUGAAGGUUAAGGUAGCCAGCCCUUGAUAAGGACACGUGUGAUGAGGGAAUGGCACAUAGGUCAGUACUGUGGCGCGUCCAGGUAAACCACAGCUGAUAAUGGAGACGUUCCCAGGACUAACUUGUCUACCACUAUAGUCCCAUUUGUGAACACUUUCAAGGUAAAACAGCAAGUCUGUGACUGAACUGGAAAUUCAGAGGAGUACUUUUAGCGAGGAAAGAAGAUGGGGAUGACAAGGUCAGCUGAUCAGUGUGCUUGUUGCCAUUAUGAAACAGUGAUAUAUUAUCAUUUAUUCUCCUCCACUAUAAGAUAAAGUGCAACAGUCUGUCAGGUAACAGUGGGAGUUGACAAAAAGUCUAAAUAUAAGAGUUUGAAGGCUGAAAUGUGGACAAAACUCACCUAAAAGUGUCUUGUUUGAUUUGAUCCACUAGAUGGCAGCAAAGACUGCAAUAUCUACUGAGGUCGUUCCGUUCGCAGCGCAGCAUUUUCAAAUUCAAAUCCUUGUUUGAUGCCCUUUAAUGUUAAGUUUUGAACCAAUUACUUAUGUUAAUGCUUCUUUUGUUUAUUAUCUGCUGUAUUUUCUUUGUCUUGUUUAUGUUCCAUCUGUUUUGUGGGUGGUUCCCCAACAACUGGGGUCACCUGCCAGUCACUGGGAGGGACUGCCAUAAAUCCGCUGGGUUUCCCACAGUUCUUGGCUGUUCACUUUGAAUGUGUUAUGAAGUCAAUGAGUUUCUUUGUGUUUUUUCUGUUCUUGUGCUUUUGAAUAAUUCUGGAUAUUUUUAACCUUCUGCUUUGCUCCUUUUGAUUACGUCAUUGGAUUUUAUAUUGUCACUCUGCUUGCUUGCUAUGCUGUGAGUUUCAUGAAACUCCAUUAUGCCUUUUGUGUUCUUUGAAGCAUCGUGUAUUACAGAGCAUUUUUCGUGGAAAAUAAAUCUUUUAUUUUAUGCAGA